CGAGAAAGCCCGCAAGGGUGAGUAAGGCGGCGCACGGGUGCGUAACACGUGGGUAAUCUGCCCUGAAGUCCGGAAUAACUCGCCGAAAGGCGUGCUAAUGCCGGAUAAGACCACGGGAGCUCCGGCUCCUGCGGGAAAAGGUGGCCUCUGUAUACAAGCUAUCACUUCAGGAUGAGCCCGCGGCCCAUCAGCUCGUUGGCGGGGUAAUGGCCCACCAAGGCUACGACGGGUAGCUGGUCUGAGAGGACGAUCAGCCACACUGGAACUGAGACACGGUCCAGACUCCUACGGGAGGCAGCAGUGGGGAAUCUUGCGCAAUGGGCGAAAGCCUGACGCAGCAACGCCGCGUGUGUGAUGAAGGUCUUCGGAUCGUAAAGCACUGUCGCGAGGGACG
rnacentral:rRNA from 1 species